UUUGUGAUCCAAAGUUCACAGAUAUGCAGAGUGAAACCAAUAAGUAGAUAGAUCAAAGCAGUUAUUGAUUGAGAGAGAGAGAGUCCAGAGUCGCCUGCGGUUGUUCCUUCAUUUUCCAAAAUCAAAGAUGCAGGGAGUAAGAAUAGAUCGGAGUUACUGAUUGUUCCAAAUACUAAAACAAAUUCAAUGCUCUCUUUAUUUUCUUCAUUAAAAGGUAUGGAAGAAAAAUUUGUAACAAUCCAAAGUUGUUCUUUGUUUCCGAAGACCAAACAAGAAGAAGAAUCAGAGUGGUUGAUCUUGAAAUUCGGCAUAAGCGGACUCGGAAAAGUUAACAAUUUUAGCAGCUGCAUACAUAGCCCUCCAUCUAGCUAUUCAGUAAUCUAGACCAGAAUAUUGGGUGGACUAGAGAAAUGGAUGAGGAAGUGUGAGCCGCAGGGAUUGCCUUCAUACAACAAUGGGCAACAUCUGUGAUUUUAAUUUUUCUGAAUUGAAGAAUGUGGAUCAUUUCUUAAGUAGGUAUAUGCAACCAUGAAAAGGAUGAGCGUAUGGAGAGGUUUCCAAGAGGAGAUGAAAAUGCUGCUGUUAGAGGAUAUGGGAUUCCCCAUCAAUGAAGUUUCAGCAGCCAAGUACAACAUUCUCAAUUACAUUUUGUGAGAGACCUUUGCUGUAAAGAGUUUUGAGUUAUGGUGCUCUUUUUUACUUCAAGCUCUUCAUCUGGAUUUUAUCAAGCUCUGUACAGUUGCACGGGGAGGUUCUGUAUUCAAAUCCAAAUUAGAAGUGCUACCAUUUUAGUGCAUAAUGGACAAUGAUACUCAGCAUCCUUAAGUACAAGAACCAGUAACAAAAGAAGAAUAUAAGAACUGAAGCUAGUUUCUGGAUCGUUCUCAUUUUCUGAAUAUCAGCAGUUGUUGGCGUUGUUGCAGGGAUUCUUACACCUGAUUUGGUUUCCUAAAUCAUGCAAGACACAAGCCAUUUUCUAAAUGAUUCUCACAGCACUCCCAGUAAAAACGUUCCAUGACAGAGAUAGCAUGCAUACUUGAUUUUUCUCAAAAGCACAAGACAUGUGUGUACGGGAUGGCGAAACAGCUAACCAUCUUCUCAUACAUUGCGAUGUGGCGUGGCGUAUUUGGGGCAUUUUUCUCAAGGAUUGGAACAUCAAGUGGGCAACUCCCCCUGACAUUAUAACUCUAAUCUCUAGUUGGCCUACUAGAUCUACUUCAAGGAGGAAUGGAUUGGUGCUGAAAGUGCUUCCUGCUGCUAUCAUUUGGAAUUUAUGGGAGGAAAGGAAUCUAAGGGCCUUCCAAGGUGUCAGCAAGGAGGUGAUGGGUAUUGUGGAUGUAGUAAAGCUGACGGUGGCGUACUGGUUGCAUAACAGGGGGGUUUUCAAAGGUAUUUCCAUGGAGCAAUUCAUUAUCAGCUGGGAUGAUGUCGUCUUUCAACCUCCAUAGGACAGUUCCUGGAGGCUUAAUAGCUGUAGUGCUUAGAGAAUAUUGGGUUUGUCUUUGUUUGUUCUGUGCUCUCCUGGCUUUGGUUCUUGGUUUGUGAUUGUUCUAGCUUAGGUGCGUAGUUUUUUUCCCUUGGUUGCAACCGUGUUUUGUUUCUUGUGGGUGGCUUUUCUGGCCUCCCUUUCUUUUCUUUUGGUCGAGUGAGCUUAAGCUCAUACAUCAUGUACUUUGGCUCUACCUCAAUAAAAUUCUUAAUUUAUCGA